rnacentral:rRNA from 1 species
ACAUCCAGAGAAUUUAGCAGAGAUGCUUUAGUGCCUUCGGGAACUCUGAGACAGGUGCUGCAUGGCUGUCGUCAGCUCGUGUUGUGAAAUGUUGGGUUAAGUCCCGNAACGAGCGCAACCCUUAUCCUUUGUUGCCAGCACGUAAUGGUGGGAACUCAAAGGAGACUGCCGGUGAUAAACCGGAGGAAGGUGGGAAUGACGUCAAGUCAUCAUGGCCCUUACGAGUAGGGCUACACACGUGCUACAAUGGCGCAUACAAAGAGAAGCGACCUCGCGAGAGCAAGCGGACCUCAUAAAGUGCGUCGUAGUCCGGAUUGGAGUCUGCAACUCGACUCCAUGAAGUCGGAAUCGCUAGUAAUCGUAAAUCAGAAUGUUACGGUGAAUACGUUCCCGGGCCUUGUACACACCGCCCGUCACACCAUGGGAGUGGGUUGCAAAAGAAGUAGAUAGCUUAACCUUCGGGAGGGCGUUUACCACUUUGUGAUUCAUGACUGGGGUGAAGUCGUAACAAGGUAAGCGUAGUGCU